UUUGAAAAAUGUCGCACGUCGUACGAGUUGUCGCACGGUUGUGAUUUUACCGUUUUGAUAUCGAUUGGUCGAAAGGACGACAAACGGACGACAAACACUCGACAUGCUCGACAUGGUUUUUUUCAAUCGAUUUACCUUCAAUUCGACGUCGAUUAUCGUCGACGCAAACAGUUUGACAGUUCUCUUCUGUUGAUCUUGUUCGGACUUGAUUGCAACCGAGUCGAACCAGUUGUUGUUGCUUUUAGGCUUUUGGAGGAUUUUGGACAGUUAAUAGGUAAGUUGUUUACUAGGUUCAAUUACUUUUUCUGCCGGAAAGUUCCGGCCGGAGUGGGCGAGCGACCGAAUCAAAGUGUCUUGUAUUCCAGAUUUCGGUCUUCGUGGCGGAGGAGGAGGAGGACGGGAAAUAUGGUUUACUCGGCGGGCCAUUCCGGAAGACGGGACGGGAAGGAACCAGUUUGCGAUCGUGGAAGCGGUUGGUGUUUGGUGUUUGGUGUUUUACCGUCCGCGGGAGGUUGCGACGCAUACCUAAUGGAACUGGCAACAAACAUAUUCCAAUCUGAUUCUGCCGGAAACCGAAAUGCGUUCCCGUGUGGUCACUCGUGGCUUCCGUAGAAUCCACGGAAGCAGCCCCGUUUUUUCGUACUCGUACUCCACAAAACCCACGUUUCCUCGUACUCCGGUAAACAUCAAUCCGUCGGAGAUCCAAGAUCGUCGCCAAGGCGUCGCAUCCGGGUUUUGAUCAGCUCGUCGAGGAACAAAAGUCCAACACGACCAAGAUGCUGCCACGGCCGCCUCAGAAGAACACCAACACCCAAGCCGGAAGCUGCGGUCAAGGCAAAUCCAGAAGGAAGCCAAGUUGGGGAAGAAUCGGCGA